CAGUCGCCGCGGGAAUACGAAGGGUGCAAGCGUUAAUCGGAAUUACUGGGCGCAAAGCGUGCGUAGGCGGUGAGUUAAGUCUGCUGUGAAAUCCCCGGGCUCAACCUGGGAAUGGCAGUGGAUACUGGCUCGCUAGAGUGUGUCAGAGGAUGGUGGAAUUCCCGGUGUAGCGGUGAAAUGCGUAGAGAUCGGGAGGAACAUCAGUGGCGAAGGCGGCCAUCUGGGACAACACUGACGCUGAGGCACGAAAGCGUGGGGAGCAAACAGGAUUAGAUACCCCCGUAGUCCCUGUCUCUUAUAC
rnacentral:rRNA from 1 species